rnacentral:rRNA from 1 species
AACGAACGCUGGCGGCAUGCCUAACACAUGCAAGUCGAACGAGACCUUCGGGUCUAGUGGCGCACGGGUGCGUAACGCGUGGGAACCUUCCCUUAGGUUCGGAAUAACUCCCCGAAAGGGGUGCUAAUACCGGAUAAUGUCUUCGGACCAAAGAUUUAUCGCCUUUGGAUGAGCCCGCGUUGGAUUAGCUAGUUGGUAGGGUAAAAGCCUACCAAGGCGACGAUCCAUAGCUGGUCUGAGAGGAUGAUCAGCCACACUGGGACUGAGACACGGCCCAGACUCCUACGGGAGGCAGCAGUGGGGAAUAUUGGACAAUGGGCGAAAGCAUGAUCCAGCAAUGCCGCGUGAGUGAUGAAGGCCUUAGGGUUGUAAAGCUCUUUUACCCGGGAUGAUAAUGACAGUACCGGGAGAAUAAGCUCCGGCUAACUCCGUG